rnacentral:rRNA from 1 species
UACAGAGGGUGCAAGCGUUAAUCGGAAUUACUGGGCGUAAAGCGUGCGUAGGCGGUUAUGUAAGUCAGAUGUGAAAGCCCCGGGCUCAACCUGGGAAUGGCAUUUGAUACUGCAUAGCUAGGAUGCGGAAGAGGGAAGUGGAAUUUCCGGUGUAGCGGUGAAAUGCGUAGAUAUCGGAAGGAACAUCAGUGGCGAAAGCGACUUCCUGGUCCAGCAUCGACGUUCAGGCACGAAAGCGUGGGGAGCAAGCAGG